GUCACCUACACAGCAUGAGGCGCCUGUGCUUCCCUGAGCCCUCGAAUGUUCUGGGGCCAGCGGCUGUGCUCAGCUUCUGCCAGUGCGUCCACACGGUCCAUUCCCUCGUCUCAUGUCAGGGACCCCUGGGAUUACGAGACCAGCAGAGCUGCCUUCUCUGGCCACUGGCCACACCUGUGGGCCCCUGUGGCAUCUAGGCCACUUGCUCUAGGGCAUAUUGGGGGGCUGGGGAGUGGGUGGGGUUGGCAUCAGCUUGAUCCAGGCUCCUCAUGCCUGACCCUGGGGUCUGUUUGCACUCCCAAGUGCCAAGAGUGCCUCCCUACCCCUCAUCUGCCUCCCACGAGUGGGGCCAGGGCUGGGUGAGAGGCCCCCAGAAGCUGCCUUGUGCACCUCGCCAGCCCGUCACUCUUCUUCUAAAGUAACAAAAACAAGUGCCUCAGUUCUCACGGGGGCUGGGGCCCAGGGUUGCUGUCCUGUCUAGUUACCCGGGUCAGCUCCUUCCUCUCAGCCUCCUUUCAUACGGCAGGAGGGGAGAACCACAUCCAGAUCCAUGGGGGCAGUGGGGACGGGCUGAGCGUCAGGAUACAGCCUCCCCAUUUGCGUGUGUGUAAAGGCUGAAGUCAACAGCAGACUUUGGAGUUAAAUGUGCUUUUUACAUUUUUAUUAGGAAAAAUUUCAAACGUGUGAAUGCAGGUUAAGAGCAGUGCAGUGAACCUCCCUUCCUGAAGCUCCCCAGAUGGGGUGCCAUUCCGAGGACAUGUUAGUCAUGAGCGCCUGUCAGCCACAUAGCUCAGGCUCCCGCGUGUGGGGAAAUGGCACAAAUAGUUUCCUGCAGGAACCCAGCGUCAGUCCCCACACAGGGCCCAGAGGGGUGAGGGUCCUCUGGCUGGGAAUGGUGUGUGAUGGAGCUGACCAGCCUGAGCUUGUCUUGUCUCUUCUGCAGCCUCAUGCCUGCUGAAACCAGUCCUGGAGCGGAUGUCUUGUUCCUGAGGGAGGCCGGUGUGGAAAGCCUGGCACGGCGGUGCCUCCAGCUGUUGAAGGGUAGCGCUGGCCCUCGGAGGCUGGCACCAGCGGACAGCUUUUCCUCUCUGCACCUGCACUCGAAUGACCUGGGGUGGAUGCCUCUGCCUUCACUUGAACACAAAUGUGCUUCCUAUAAAAUCAUGUACCAAGAA